GAUGAACGCUGGCGGCGUGCCUAAUACAUGCAAGUCGAGCGAACGGACGAGAAGCUUGCUUCUCUGAUGUUAGCGGCGGACGGGAGAGUAACACGUGGAUAACCUACCUAUAAGACUGGGAUAACUUCGGGAAACCGGAGCUAAUACCGGAUGAUAUUUUGAACCGCAUGGUUCAAAAGUGAAAGACGGUCUUGCUGUCACUUAUAGCUGGAUCCGCGCUGCAUUAGCUAGUUGGUAAGGUAACGGCUUACGAAGGCAACGAUGCAUAGCCGACCUGAGAGGGUGAUCGGCCACACUGGAACUGAGACACGGUCCAGACUCCUACGGGAGGCAGCAGUAGGGAAUCUUCCGCAAUGGGCGAAAGCCUGACGGAGCAACGCCGCGUGAGUGAUGAAGGUCUUCGGAUCGUAAAACUCUGUUAUUAGGGAAGAACAUAUGUGUAAGUAACUGUGCACAUCGUGACGGUACCUAAUCAGAAAGCCACGGCUAACUACGUG
rnacentral:rRNA from 1 species